rnacentral:siRNA from 1 species
UUGUCGUAGUGUUCGGGUGUA